CCUUAUAGCACCUUCCAGUACCUGAAAGGGGCUACAAGAGACCCAGAGAGGGACUUUUUACAAAGGCAUGGAGUGAUAGGACAAGGGGUAAUGACUUUAAAGUAAAAGAGGGUUCAAUUGGUUCCAUGGAGGGUGGAAUGACCUGGCAUUGCAAUUAAGCAGAGUUCACUGCAAUAUAUUCAACUUGAAUGGAGGCAAAAGAGGACAAUUUCAUGGGAAUGACCAGAUUCACAGACUACACACCACCUUGCCUACCUGUCCUGAAGCAUCUGACAAGACACCUUCUCUGAAAGUCUGACUUCAGAUUUC